AUGUUCAUUUUGGCAGCACCUACAUUAAAAUAGGAACAAUACAGAGAAGAUUAACAUGGCCUCUGUACAACCAAGACGUGAAAAUUCGAGAUGUGUUGCAUAUUUUU
rnacentral:snRNA from 1 species